CACGUUGCAAGCCAGAUUCUAAACCACUGGACCACCAGUGCGGUCCCUCUCAGCAAUUUAUUUUAAAUAUUUAAAAUAUUUUGUUUCAAGCAUGUUUCUAAUAAUAAGGCCUUCCUUCUAAUAUUAAGGCCGUCCUUCCUUUUGCUUGUUGAACCUAGUGUGACAGGGUCUAUCCUUCCAUGGGAGAACUCAAUUCUUUCCGUUUAAGAUAUGAAUGCUUACAUAUAUAAUGUAACUCCUGUGAGACACUAUUGUUGAUUAUUUUGUAUCAUUGUUUCUUCCUCACUUUUGAUGGCUUGAUCAAGUUACUGCUCCUUCCAUCUUUCCCUUUCUUAAUCUGGAAGUCCCCACUUAGGCCCUUCUCUCACGUAUCUCCCCCAGAUUCGUAUGUUGAAGCACUCACACUCAGAGUAGCUGUUUUGGAGCUGGAGCUUCUCGGGGGGUAAUUAAGGUUAAAUGAGGUCAUAAGGAUGGGUCCCCGAUCCAGGAGGAUUAGUGUCCUUCUAGGAAGAGACACCAGAACUCUCUCUCUCUCUCCUCCCCCUCCUUCCAGCACCUGCACAAAGAAGAGGUCAUGUGAGCACCCAGCAAGACGGCAGCCAUCACAAACUGAGGGACAAGUCUUGCAGGCCCCUUGAUCCCAGACUUCCAGCCUCCAGAAACAAAAGGGGUGGGGGAUAGAAGAGAAUUUGGAAAGUGUCAUCACAGAAUCUUCCUUCGCCUUCACAGCAGGACGACUGUUCCGUGACAGCAGGGACCUUGCUACUGGCUCCCUAACACCCUGGAGGCAAGAGCUGGAUUGUCAAGCUGUGUAGACCCCCUGGAGACCCUGCGGGGGAUGGGGGCUGGACCUGACCUUGGGGACCUGGUAGGUGCAUGGUGUCCCAGCCCUGCUGACAAUGACGGCUCUGUGAUCUCCCAUAAGUGCCUGGACUUCUCUGGGCUGCCGCCUCCUUAUUCGUCAAAUGAGGAAGGAAUCCUAACUACCAGCAUCCCUUUCAGCACUGUGGGAAGAAGUUCAAGCCUUGAACAGUGUUCUACAAUGCAUGCAUCCUCAGAGCGUUCGCUGUGCCUACUCCACACUCAGAACCAGAGAGCUGGGCGUCAGCCCGUCCCGCAGCCUGGGGACUGGCAGGCAAAGUCCCCUCUGCCGGGAAGCCUUCUGGGGACCAGAGUUGAGGCUGGUCUGGGCGCCCACACCCUCAUGUGACCCACAGGUCUCCAACUCCAGACCUGCCAUCUCCUGUUCACUUUGCAUCACAAACUCCCAGUCCCCGCCUGGCAUGGAGGCCCCCAGGCUGGCAAGUGCUGUCAGAGCAGACAGCACUCAGGGGCAGAGAAAGCCCCUCAGAAGCGCCAGACCCUGCAGAGCCCCCCUGGGUGGUAAUUCAACUCUGUGGGUGUUUCCUGAGUCCUACUCUGUGCUGGGGACUCAGGUCAGACAAGCCCUGUCCUGGGACUUUCGCAGCCUGGACCAAAGAAGGGGAUGGAGCAACAGUGCUGAGGACAGGACUGUUUGCGCAGGGGCACACGGGCUGUGCCCUAGACCUGGCCUGAGCCAGGAGGGCUUCCUGGAGGAGGCACCCUGCCCUCUCUCCCCUCCCCUGAGAGGGUGACGAGCCCUGUGAUGAUACACAGGAUACACCUGCAAGUCCCCAAAAUAGCAGCGGUGCGUACAGGGACACUGCAUUCCUGCUGCGAAAUCGCUGCCACCUCGGCUGUGUUUGCAAAAAUACCUUCUGCCACACAAAGGUGAAAAUGGCAGAGGCGAGAACCAGGCUUUGGAAAAGGAAAAAUAUUUAAACACCUUCCUCGGGGAUCUGUAAGCUCUCGGCACGGGGACAGUGAUGGCGCCGUGUGACUGGGCUAAAGUUAGCUCCCAUCAGGGUAGCUGGCUGCGAGCAGCGUUUCCACCGCGAGUGUGUGGUGCCUGGCACAGCUCCUUGGCCAGCGGGCAGGGCGGUGCAGAGAGGAGGGCGGUGGACCCACACUGCAUGCCCCCUGCCCCCCACGGACGCCGCACAUGCCUGCCUGCACUGCAUCUGGACGGAUGGGGGCACCUCUGCCCUUGCUAGCCAACCCGGGGGUGCACAGAGGGGCUCACUCCCUGGCCCAUGGUCACAGCAGGUGGAGACGACAAGCCUGGAACCGGGAUCCCAGCCACCCGACUCGGAAGGCUAUUCCAUAGUCGAGGGCCAUUUGGGUCCACCUCGGAGAAUCGAGUUUGAGAGAGGGAGAGAGCCUGGUCACAGCGCGUGUGCGCCUUACAGACAGGCUGCUUCCGUGGAGACAGGCCCCAGCCGGGCCUGCACACCCCGGCCCUGUCCCUUCCCCAUGCUGGACAGUUUCUGGGUGUUUCUGUCCAACGACAGCAACUACUGCAUGAAAUGAUCCUGUCUCACACCCAAGUUCAGGCUUUCUCAACGUCCCUUGGUUAGAGCAUUCUCCAUAAACUAUUGUUU